rnacentral:rRNA from 1 species
UGAGGAAUAUUGGUCAAUGGACGAGAGUCUGAACCAGCCAAGUAGCGUGAAGGAUGACUGCCCUAUGGGUUGUAAACUUCUUUUAUAUGGGAAUAAAGUAUUCCACGUGUGGGAUUUUGUAUGUACCAUAUGAAUAAGGAUCGGCUAACUCCGUGCCAGCAGCCGCGGUAAUACGGAGGAUCCGAGCGUUAUCCGGAUUUAUUGGGUUUAAAGGGAGCGUAGGUGGAUUGUUAAGUCAGUUGUGAAAGUUUGCGGCUCAACCGUAAAAUUGCAGUUGAAACUGGCAAUCUUGAGUACAGUAGAGGUGGGCGGAAUUCGUGGUGUAGCGGUGAAAUGCUUAGAUAUCACGAAGAACUCCGAUUGCGAAGGCAGCUCACUAGACUGCAACUGACACUGAUGCUCGAAAGUGUGGGUAUCAAACAGGAUUAGAUACCCUGGUAGUCCACACAGUAAACGAUGAAUACUCGCUGUUUGCGAUAUACAGUAAGCGGCCAAGCGAAAGCAUUAAGUAUUCCACCUGGGGAGUACGCCGGCAACGGUGAAACUCAAAGGAAUUGACGGGGGCCCGCACAAGCGGAGGAACAUGUGGUUUAAUUCGAUGAUACGCGAGGAACCUUACCCGGGCUUAAAUUGCAUUUGAAUAAUCUGGAAACAGGUUAGCCGCAAGGCAAAUGUGAAGGUGCUGCAUGGUUGUCGUCAGCUCGUGCCGUGAGGUGUCGGCUUAAGUGCCAUAACGAGCGCAACCCUUAUCUUUAGUUACUAACAGGUUAUGCUGAGGACUCUAGAGAGACUGCCGUCGUAAGAUGUGAGGAAGGUGGGGAUGACGUCAAAUCAGCACGGCCCUUACGUCCGGGGCUACACACGUGUUACAAUGGGGGGUACAGAAGGCAGCUACCUGGCGACAGGAUGCUAAUCCCAAAAACCUCUCUCAGUUCGGAUCGAAGUCUGCAACCCGACUUCGUGAAGCUGGAUUCGCUAGUAAUCGCGCAUCAGCCAUGGCGCGGUGAAUACGUUCCC